rnacentral:lncRNA from 1 species
GAAAAGUUCUUUGUGGGAGCGAGGAGUGGGAUGGCAAUGAGCAGCUCCAGGGGCUGAGGAGGAGAUUUUGCUCUCCAGAACCAGGGGAACAGGAGCUUCAGGAGAUGAAAACUCAAUUUUGAGGACACAUUUUAAGUAAUGAAUGCAGUGGAGUGGAACAGCGACACCAAAAGGGUCAAGCUGGAGGCUGUUCAGGUGGAAUGAAAGGGAAUGUGAGCCCCUGCUCUGCUCACGGUCCUGGCAGGAAUUCUGCAGCAAUUCGCUGCAGAUCAGCGAGGAUUCAUCAAAGUUGUAUCAAGUUGAAAGAGUGCCCAAGGGUGCUGCCUGGGAGCUCCAGCAGCUUUUUCUGCACAAAACAACUCUCUCUGCCCUUUGCUUUUCUAAUCCCAAACUAGCCUGGGGCUCCGGUUCACCUUCUGGAGGAGCAGCUCCGCCACCUUCCCAAGGGCUGCUGCGGAGAGAGGAUUUUAAAUUCCAGCAGGAUGAAAGGAAGCGGUGCAGGGGCUCCUCCAGGCCAGGACAGGGGGGUUUUGUGCCCACCCUGCAGGGGACACCCGGGUCAGGCUGUCCUGCCUCAAGUUGUGACCCUUUUUCUGUUCCGUGCUGUUCAGGCUGGGAUUGUUUCCCCCUGUGCGGGGUGAAGAUCUGCUGGGAGUUUUUGUUUGACAACAGCUUUUGCUGGCAGCAAAGAGAAACAUUCUCUAUUUCACAUGUUUUUAUGGCUUUUCAUUCCCUUUUCCACCCAUGCAAAGGCCUUUCCCAGGUAAACUCCAGUGGCUGUAAUCUCCAUUCCUCUUAGAGUUUGAGAAGUGGGAAGGAGGAGGAAUAUUGGCAGUUCUGAUGGCAGGGGUUCUGCCAGCCCCAGGUGAGGAGGCAGAGGAGCAGAUGGAGGAAUUUAAAAUUCUGUGCAGCACAAAGACCUUGAAAUAACGAAAGGGAAAAAAAAAAAAAAUAAAAUCAAAAUGCAAACUGACUCCUCCA